UACGUAGGGUGCGAGCGUUGUCCGGAAUUAUUGGGCGUAAAGGGCUCGUAGGCGGUCUGUCGCGUCGGGAGUGAAAACUCAGGGCUUAACCCUGAGCCUGCUUCCGAUACGGGCAGACUAGAGGUAUGCAGGGGAGAACGGAAUUCUUGGUGUAGCGGUGGAAUGCGCAGAUAUCAGGAGGAACACCGGUGGCGAAGGCGGUUCUCUGGGCAUUACCUGACGCUGAGGAGCGAAAGUGUGGGAGCGAACAGG
rnacentral:rRNA from 1 species